rnacentral:misc_RNA from 1 species
UCGUAACAAGGUUUCCGUAGGUGAACCUGCGGAAGGAUCAUUAGUGAAUUAUAGGGCGUCUACUUGUAGAGCCUGACCUCCACUUCUAACACUGUGCACUUGAUGGCGAGGUAAUGAAACUUUCGAGUGAAAUUACCUUGCGGCUUCAUUUUAAACAUUAGUCAAAGUAUGUAAUGAAAUAUAAAACAAAAAAAAACUUUCAACAACGGAUCUCUUGGCUCUCGCAUCGAUGAAGAACGCAGCGAAAUGUGAUAAGUAAUGUGAAUUGCAGAAUUCAGUGAAUCAUCGAAUCUUUGAACGCACCUUGCGCUCCCUGGUAUUCCGGGGAGCAUGCCUGUUUGAGUGUCAUGAACUCUUCAACCCACCAGUUUCUAGUAGACUGCGUUGGUGUUUGGAUUUUGAGCGUUGCUAGUCUAACUAGCUCGUUCGUAAUAUAUUAGCAUCUCUAAUUCGAAUUCGGAUUGACUCAGUGUAAUAGACUAUUCGCUGAGGACACUUUUAUUAGUGGCCGUACUAGAACCAGUAGAAGCUUCCAACUAUUGUAGUCAACUUUAUUUUAGACCUCAGAUCAGGCAGGAUUACCCGCUGAACUUAAGCAUAUCAAUAA